GAUGAACGCUGGCGGCGUGCUUAACACAUGCAAGUCGAACGAUGAAGCCCAGCUUGCUGGGUGGAUUAGUGGCGAACGGGUGAGUAACACGUGAGUAACCUGCCCUUAACUCUGGGAUAAGCCUGGGAAACUGGGUCUAAUACCGGAUAGGAGCGUCCACCGCAUGGUGGGUGUUGGAAAGAUUUAUCGGUUUUGGAUGGACUCGCGGCCUAUCAGCUUGUUGGUGAGGUAAUGGCUCGCCAAGGCGACGACGGGUAGCCGGCCUGAGAGGGUGACCGGCCACACUGGGACUGAGACACGGCCCAGACUCCUACGGGAGGCAGCAGUGGGGAAUAUUGCACAAUGGGCGCAAGCCUGAUGCAGCGACGCCGCGUGAGGGAUGACGGCCUUCGGGUUGUAAACCUCUUUCAGUAGGGAAGAAGCGAAAGUGACGGUACCUGCAGAAGAAGCACCGGCUAACUACGUG
rnacentral:rRNA from 1 species